AGCUGUGAUGAAUUGCUUUAAUUUCUGAUACCUCGAAUGAAAACUUCUUGUUCAGUCUGAUUAUGCUGAAAGAUUGAGGCUU
ensembl:snoRNA